CAGUAGUAAUAAUUGAGGAAUUGGAGAUCUAAAACAAAUUCCAACUUGAAUACAAAAAACUCUCAUUUUCUCCAUCUAAAAACUAAAGAGAUUAUUACAUAGAGAGAAUUCAAACAACCAAACAAACUCAAAAGAAAAAUUCACACAAGCAGAAGUUACUGAUCUGACUUAAAAAUUACAGAAUCUCACAACUCCAAAAGCAAGCAGAACUUGCCUUUUCUUUAUUUCCUAUCUUACAUCUGAAAAGGCUACACAACUUUUUAGAUAUACUCUAUAUAUAUGGAUGAACAAGUUCAGAUGAACUUGAUGGAAUUACCCUCCUGAUGCAGGAGUUGGUGGUGGAGUGGUGGAAGCUGAGGUGGCGGCGGUGGAGCUGCCGUCAAAGUCGUCAUCUCCGCCGGCACCAUCACCUCCUCUAAAGGGAAAUAGAGAGCUUACAGUCUCGACAAAACUCUCAAAAAUUUGAGCUUUGAUCUUACCCCUUUUGGGUGGAAGUGCUCUCUUUUGUGUCUGUUGCAUGUUUGGUGUUGUAGCUGCUGCCAUUAGAAUAUAGGAAGUAACAGAAAAGUAGCCGGAAAAUAUGAAGAGAAAAGAAGAAGGAGAAAUUCAAGUAGGCUUUGAAAAUACAGCCUAUAUUAUAAGAAUAUGAAGGGAAGAAAGAGAUCAAGAACUAAGGGGGAGAAAUGAAAAGUCAGGGGGAUGUGGCCGGAAAAAGCCCCAUCGGAGAGGAAAUUAAAGAAGAAGAGGAAGUGAGAGCUAAAGGAGGACAAAUACGUGGAGU
rnacentral:lncRNA from 1 species